rnacentral:rRNA from 1 species
GCAGGGAAUCUUGGGCAAUGGGGGCAACCCUGACCCAGCAACGCCGCGUGGGGGAUGAAGGCCUUCGGGUCGUAAACCCCUUUUCCUGGGGACGAGUAAGGACGGUACCCAGGGAAUAAGCCUCGGCUAACUACGUGCCAGCAGCCGCGGUAAGACGUAGGAGGCAAGCGUUGUCCGGAUUUACUGGGCGUAAAGGGCGUGUAGGCGGCUCCGGUGGUGGUGAGUGAAAGCCCCUCCAAAAGAGGGGAGUGCCCACCAGACCCCGGGGCUAGAGGGGAGCAGAGGAGGGUGGAAUUCCCGGAGGAGCGGUGAAAUGCGUAGAUUUCGGGAGGAACACCAGUGGCGAAGGCGGCCCUCUGGGCUCUUCCUGACGCUGAGGCGCGAAAGCGUGGGGAGCAAACCGG